UUUGUUUUGUUUUUGUUUUCCCCUUUGCUGAGCUUGGAAAAGUGGUUGUGGAAUGGAUCGGUUUACAUUUCUUUUUGAGUAUAUACCAACUGUAUUAAGAGUUAAAUAUGAAAAAGGAUGAAAAUAAGUACGAAAGACAACAUCCGUUCUCAUUUCAAUUUCCUGGAAGGAAAGUGCGGUUGGGCAGAUGGUGCUUUUUUGUUUUACUAAACUGAAUGAUCAGAUGUAAAUAAUAUAACCAUAUAAACUAUAAAGAUCGUUGGAGGUGGCUGAAUUGUACCUUAGCUAUUUCUGUUCCCAUCCAUGGAGAACCAGGACACUGAGUUUCUGGUUAAACAGGUAGAGGAGAGUGGCUGGUAAUUUGGCAUCACGUUAAAUAUUCCCAGAUGAGUCCUAUGCCUAAAAGCUUAGUCCUGCUGUUUUUCAACUAAUCAUUUGCAAAACUGAAGGAAAAAUAAAAAUUAAAAAGGUAAGACAGAAAAAAAAAAAAAAAAAAAAAAAGAGAGACUUCUGGUAGGUGAGCCACAGCAGGGCAAUUAAGAUGAUAUGGCAGAGGUAGACAUCUGCUCCUAGACAGAUACAGUUCCACUGAUGCUAUCUAUAGCUGCAAUCCUUCUGAGAGAUAAACAACGUGCGAGAGCAACGCACAGAAGGAAAUACCACACUGAGAAAAUGAUGAUGGGAGACCAAGCUUGCGGCCCCUGUGGUCUGAGAAAGAGUGAGAGGCAGCAAAAGAAAAAGGGAGGGGUGACAUGUGGGGCCUGUACCAGGCACACGCAGGUGACUGAGUCGUAUGAUGGACACACAUCAAGAUGUAAAGCUGGAAGCUGUGUGAGAACUGACGCUGGAGGGGAGCAGAAUCACAGCAAAGAUGAAAGGCUGGACCUAGGGCUUGAUUUGCUUCCACAAAAGAUCAACAGCAUCGAAGUCUCAUCCUGUCAUCCUAUCUCACGCCGUUACCUCAAACCAAAAAUGCAACUCGUAAUAAUUCUUCCUGGUUACCCUGUGGUCUCAUUUGGUUAAAAAUAAAAGUUUCUUUUCUCUGUCUGGGAACAAGACAGCAAUAUCAAGAAGAAGAGUUUAAUUAAAAACUGGAGCUAAUCUCAAGACCUCAUGCUUUGGAAUUUAUUUAUUUAUUUUUAAUGUCUGCGUAUGAAAGGCUCUUGUCCAGAAAAACCUUGCCUAGAAAGUCUGAAGUUUUCUGUGUAUCUGAAGGAGGCAGAGGUGGACUUAAUGCCUUUAACAAGCAAUUCACUUGAGGCUAGAUUCUGCUAUCCUAACUCAGUUUAUACCCAAAGGUGGCAAAUUUAAAUACUUCUUCUGUCGACAGGUUGCUCAUAAAUAGAUAUAAACAGACGGCAUUUACCUCCGAUGUAUUCAUUAUGGAAAAUUGUGCAAUAAGCCUUAUUGUUUGUUUAACUUCACUCGUCUUCCUUAUUCUAGAGUGCAAUCAUGAAUGUUUGAGUGAUGUAGAUGUUGGUUUUAGUUAGUUGUUUAUUGUUUUCGUUUUUUUUUUUUUUAGACUCUUGCAUUUUUCUUUCUUUCUGCUUAUUUUUAAUUUAUUUCACAUUCACACACAUAAGCCUCAACUUUUCUUUCUGAGACAUGAAAGCUGGAAAAACUGUUCUGUGAGUGCGUGCAGAAAGUGAAAGAAAAACAUAAAUGGUAAAUAUCUAAUGUACAUUAUUCCAAAAGCUUAAUUUUUGAAUAUAAGUGUGAAAUAAGGUCAUCCCUUUAUUAAAAUUCACCUAGAUCUACGUUAAAGUAUCAAAACAGGAAUGGUAUCAGGAAAGAACAAAGCCCUCCUACAAAUGUGUUAGUUAUUAAUGUAUAAUUUCUCCUUUUAGAGUACAAUUCUUUCAGCAUAUCCAGCAAAUAAUUCAAAUAUUUGUAGGCCAUCAUAAAAGAUCUGAUAAUUUAAGCUAGUAAAGGAAAGCUGUAAUCUUGGAGAAAUCCCCUUUGGAAUAUCUACAGUGACCAUCUAUCAACAGAGAAAGACAGUUCCAGAGAUAAAACCCCUAAUGUUCAUCAGAGUGUAAUAAUUUUUGGACAUUACAAGUGCUAAUGUAGCUUUGCUAUUCCCAGCUAGUAAUUCUUGGGGAAUCUGUCAGCUAUGGAAAUCUGUGAGAUUAGCCCUGAAAUAUAUACUUGAUUGAUAACUAUACUGUUUCUAUUAUGCUAUGGUCCUGCUUUUUUUUUUUUUUUUUUUUUUUUGAUUUUUUUUUUUCGAUUUUUAAGUGUAGAGUGUAAUAUCUGGGGCUUCUGAAAGAAACUAAAGAUUUACUACAGCAUAGAAGUACCCUUCAUUCCUUUUCUUUCAUGCUUUCUAAUGCAGAAAUAAAUAUGCAUAAAUAAUGCAGAAAUGAAUAUUCAUAAACAUGAAACUUAACAUGAGGAACUUUAGAAAAACAUUUAAAAAUAUAUUUUGGUGUAUGUUGCAUUAUUCAAUUUUAACCUACCAUGGUACUUUCAUGUGACAGAUUGUCAUUAUGACUAUGCUUCCUUUUUCACUGGAGUCUAUCACUUCAGAGAGUUCCCUCCCCCAUCUCAGCUUUGCUUUGCAAGCUUUUUUAUCUUUUCUACCUUGCUAGAGGCAUUAUUAGGGCAGUUCACCUUUGACCAAAUGGGCAGACGAACAUCCAUCCUCUGGAGCCAAUACUAGUGCUGUUUGGUAGAUGAGCUCUCAAAUGGUACUGAACUGUGACCUCUUCUUCUGUUCAAAGACUAAAUACAUAAACUUGAGCCUCCAUUGGUGCCAAGCCUGGGAACCUGAGUUGCUCCCUAAUCCCAGGUCUUGCAGCCAGCAGCACAAUGGGCAACUCACCAUGCCAGUCAGCCAGCCUGAAAGAAUGUCUUUAUUCUCUCUUCCUCAACAAAUUGCUUAUUGUUUGGCCCACAGGCUGCUAGACCUUGUGAACUGUCCAAAACUUUAUUGCCUUUCUGUUAAACUUUCUUCUUUUUUCCCUUUGAUUCUGUUUAUAAAUGAAAUGAAUUUAUAUUUUCACUUCUUAGCAGUAUCAUUUUUAAAGAUGACUGUUACUUUUAAUCUUUUUUUUCAGAGUACAUCUGCCUUUUAGAAGCCUGCAGGAACCACAGAAAUAAUGCAAGCUCUGCAGGUUUAGGGUCCUUAGAAAGAAGGGUCUGGGAAAAUGCUAAAUGUUAUAAUACAGUAAAAUGAAGGCAAAUGAUUCAGGUGUUUCCAAAGAUACUGUUUCUCUGCUUUUGGCCUCAUCUUGACUGUGACUGCCCUGUGUCUAUUGUAUAAACAUGGGAUUCUGAUUCCAGACGUUCUACCAGCCUGACAUCCACUGGGAAAGUGAUGACACCAUAAAUUAUUUAGAGGUUUGAAAACCAUGAGAACUACUGUAUAUAACCAGAUUGGAUUGACUUUUUAACUCUUUUGAUUAAUAAUACAUAAAGCCUUGGAUAUGUGAAGUGGUUGAGUGCUAACCUGUUAACAAAAGGAGUAGCAGAGAUGAAUUCUAACAUUUCUCAUAAGUUAUUCUACUUAACACAUUGGCCAAACAAAACAAACAAAUGAAAUGCUCUGCCUUAGUCUUAUACCUUCAGUGCACCAUCAAUAUUUGAUGGCUACCUAAUGUCUCUAUAUAUCUGGCCACCAAUGAUAUUUUGAUCAUCUGGCUUACCAAUUUCAGUCUUAGCUUCUUUUUCCUGUAUUUGUGAAAACAUGCCACUAGAAAGUAGAAAAAGAGUUUCAAUAUCCUGGUUUCUUUUCUGACUUUCAUUUUAACAUUACUAACUGCUCAGAUGUGAAAAUGAUAUUUCAGCCUUCAAAAAAGCAAGUGAAAACCAGAAUUUCCUAGGUUUAUGGUAUUUUUUCUCUGCAGCAGGAUGGGAGUAGACAUUUGCACUUCUACAGAUAGAUUUCAUGUUCUGCAUUUCUGCUACUGACCCUGUUUUAAUUAUCCACUUGUUUCUUAAGUUUUGUUCUUUUAUAGGUUGCUUUGGGUGAAGCUUUCAGAGAAAAGAGACACUGUUAUUUCCUUCCUAUUGAAAUACAGAAGAUGAUGCUCAUGACAGCCUGCAUUUCUGAGCAACAGAAAAAGUGACAAGAGACGUCACUGUGCUUCUGGGUUGCCUGGCCCGUACUUCAGGAGAUAGGCUAUCCAGGGUGAUUUCAGAGCAACACAUUAAUUUACAAUAGAAAUAUAUAUGUAUAUAUAUAUUUCUGUGCAACUCUCUGGAUGUUUUUGUAUUAUCCCAAAUGACAUUUGACUUCUUUAGAUGUAGAAACAAUAUGAAACACAUUUCUUUACUCAUUCCUGUGCACUUUUCCCUUGCGAUUUCCCAUAGAAUUCAAUUUUCAACUUCUUUCUGCACAGGUACUGGGUAUCUAUUCAACCUGCUGCAUGUCCAGCCAAUAUUAAUCAAAUACUAAUACUAUCAGUUACAGAUACUAGUACAUUCUUUUUACCACCUGAUAUGCCCACAGAAUUCUCCUUCCUUGAUCCCUCUAAUGUCAGAAAUACCUGGAGGCCCAUGGCCCUCUUCUAAUUUUUUUAAACCUUGCAGACUAACCAUUCAUCCUCUCCCUGUCCAGUACCAAUGAUGCCUCACCAAUCAUUCUGGAAGCUAUAAGAUCUGUGUGAGAUUAAUCUAUGUAUAAAAGAAUGAAUAAUUCAAUUCAAAAGCACGCUUUAAAAUUUUUGUUAGUCCAGGCUCCUCAAUUUGUUCAAUUAUUUUGUUGUAAAUUUUUAGUGAUGCCUUUACUGCAAUAUAUUUGAAUUUCCUACAAUAUGAGUAAAACGAGUCUCACCUCAGCUUUAAGAAAUGAGGACCAAUUUAAGAAAAUUAUAGCAGCCCACCAAUUACACCUGAACAAGGCCUUGCUUGUGACACCAAUAAUAAAUUAAAUUAUUCAGCAAUAUUUAUUAAAUGUUAAUGAGUACCAUCACCUGACUUCCACACACAGAAGUACUGUGUGAAAUCUGUUGUCAGGUACUGUUUCCUUUUCUGAAAGGAAGUAUCAUCCAAUUUGUGUACAGAUUCUCUCCCCACUCCAAAAAGGAAGUAUAUCCAUAAAAAUAAUUAGAAUCUCUUCUAUAUAAAUGCAUAUGUCCCCCUUCUAUUCUUAUAUUCCCGCCAUAUCAAUAACAGUGUAGUCACAUUGAUUUCCUAGUUAUGAUUAAAUAUAGCACUCAAACAAUUUAUUCUCAUUCUUAAAAAAAUUCUAGAUGUGGUAUUAUUUUUGCAUAUUUUCUUGCUGCAUCUUAAGGUCUAACCGGGUGACUGAGAUCAGCAUCUGACUUUACCAGAAUAGCAUGGAUCUCAGUAUUUUUUGCAUAGUAUCUUUCAACAGCCAUAAUAAAUAAAUAAAUAAACAAACAAACAAACCAACAUUUGUAUUUUUUUUCCAUCUGGGAUUAUGUGACAAAGUGAUCCCCUGCAUCUAAUCAAUUAUU
ensembl:lncRNA